CGCGCGCGCGCCCCCCCCCCUCCCCUCUUUCCCUUUUCCCUUUUCCCGCCUCCUUCCCUCAUUUCCCCCCCCUUCAUCCCAUGGACAUGGCACGGCCACCUUAAAACGCCGCGCCGCCCCCUCCUCCCCCGAUCGCCGGGGCCGGUAUGAGUCAGGUGUGAAGCCCCCGCCGGGAGGAGGUCGUUCCUCUGCUGGCUGCAGCCCUGACGCUGGGAUUUUCCUUUUUUUGGCUUUUUUUUUUUUUUUUUUUUUUUUCGGCCCCACCACCUCCCUCCUUCCCUCCCUCGCUCCCUCCCUCCAGGAAUCCAGCGCUGCACCGAAGCCAGAAGAGAGGGAGCAAAACCCAGCCCAGGCCGAGAGCCGCGUCCUGAAACCAAACCCGCCCUUCGCGUCGCAAAGGAGAUUUUUUUUUUAAAUCAUUAUUAUUAUUAUUAUUUUUAUUUUUAAUACCCCUGACCCGAGCACGGUGGCGGCAGCGGCGCCGGGGCAGGGAGGCUGUCCCGGUUAUUUAUUCUCUCCCCGCAGAGCUGUCCCUCCGGCUCACCAUGAUGUUCCGAGACCAGGUUGGCGUGCUGGCCGGGUGGUUCAAGGGCUGGAACGAGUGCGAGCAGACUGUUGCGCUGCUCUCCCUGCUCAAACGCGUCAGCCGGACCCAGGCUCGCUUCCUCCAGCUCUGCCUCGAGCAUUCCCUGGCAGACUGCACCGAGCUCCACAUCCUCGAAGGGGAGGCCAACAACCCCGGAAUCAUUAACCAGUGGCAACAGGAAUCCAAGGAUAAAGUGAUCUCCCUCUUGUUAACCCACCUGCCUUUACUGAAGCCCGGCAACAUCGAGGCGAAAGUCGAGUACAUGAAACUCUUGCCCAAAAUCCUGGCGCACUCCAUCGAGCACAACCAGCACAUCGAGGAGAGCAGGCAGCUGCUGUCCUACGCCUUGAUCCACCCUGCCACCUCCCUGGAGGACAGGAGCGCCCUGGCCAUGUGGCUCAACCACCUGGAGGACCGCACGUCGGGGGGCUUCGGCGGGCAGGGCCGGGGCCGCUCGGACUCGCUGGACUACGGGCAGGCUCACUACUAUCACCAAAGACAGAAUUCUGAUGACAAACUCAACGGGUGGCAGAACUCUCGGGACUCCGGCAUCAGCGUCAGUGCCUCCAGCUGGCAGGACAAAAACCUGGCCUGUGAGAACGGCCACCUGCCCCUCUACUCCUCCUCCUCCGUCCCCACCACCAUCAACACCAUCGGCACUAGCACAAGCACCAUUCUCUCAGGCCAGACACACCACAGCCCUUUGAAACGCUCUGUGUCCCUUACCCCACCCAUGAAUGUGCCAAACCAACCUCUAGGACAUGGAUGGAUGUCUCAUGAGGACUUACGAGCUAGAGGACCCCAGUGCAUCCCUUCCGAUCAUGCCCCCCUGUCUCCACAAAGCAGUGUAGCCUCUUCGGGAAGUGGUGGGAGUGAACAUUUAGAAGAUCAGCCUUCUGCUCGUAACACAUUCCAGGAGGAAGGGAGUGGGAUGAAAGAUGUCCCAGCCUGGCUGAAGAGCCUCCGGCUGCACAAGUACGCCGCCCUCUUCUCCCAGAUGACGUACGAGGAGAUGAUGGCCCUCACCGAAUGCCAGCUCGAGGCACAAAAUGUUACCAAAGGCGCGAGACACAAAAUAGUCAUCAGUAUCCAAAAGCUAAAAGAAAGACAAAACCUGCUCAAAUCUCUAGAAGGGGACAUCCUGGAAGGCGGCAACUUGCGUGUCCCGCUGCAGGAGCUGCACCAAAUGAUCCUCACCCCCAUCAAAGCCUACUCUUGCCAAAACUCGAGCACGGAGGAGCACAGCCGGGACGUGGACUCGCACCACCCCUCCUCCCUGCUGGGCUCGGACAGCCAAGGCUCAGAGUGCAAGGACUCGGCGGGGGCCGGGAUGCAGCAGCAUCACCUGCCGGGGUGCGAGGGCGAGUCCGGGGGGGCCCCUUUGCCCGAGGGUGACCUGCCUGGCCAGUUCACCCGAGUGAUGGGGAAAGUCUGCACACAACUUUUAGUUUCCCGACCCGAUGAAGAGAAUAUAAGUUCCUAUUUACAGCUCAUAGACAAAUGUCUAAUCCAUGAGGCGUUUACAGAGAUCCAGAAGAAGCGGCUGCUGUCAUGGAAACAGCAGGUGCAGAAACUCUUUCGGUCUUUCCCUCGGAAAUCCCUCCUGGAGCUGUCAGGCUAUCGGCAGCAGAGGAGCCGAGGCUUUGGCCAGUCCAACUCCCUCCCGACAGCCGGAUCCGCGGGGGCAGGGCUGGCGCGGAGGAACCCCCGGCAGUUCCAGAUCCCCUCCCGCAACCUCCCCACGGCCCGGCUGGGGCUGCUGGGCCCCACGGGGCUGCUGGGCACCCCCCAGCGCAGCCCUGCCGCCAGCCCCGCCAUCCUCAAGCAAGGCAGACAGAACCUGUGGUUUGCCAACCCUGGGGGCAGUAACAGCAUGCCCAGCAGGAGCCACAGCUCGGUGCAGAGGACGCGCUCGCUGCCGGUCCACACGUCCCCGCAGACCAUGCUGAUGUUUCAGCAGCCAGAGUUCCAGGUGCCGGUGACUGAACCUGACAUCAACAACAGGCUGGAGUCCCUGUGCCUGAGCAUGACGGAGCACGCACUCAGCGGUGAGCAUUCCCUCCUCCUGGGGCUCUUCCAGCACGUCCACGCCGCCUCUGCUGAGCCCCCCAGCACCUGCCCCCUGCCCCCCAAAAGCUGGGACAGGCUGUGGCUGUGAGAGUGGGGCCGGACGCGGGGAUGCUCCCGGGGAUGCUCCCGGGGCUGUUCCGAUGGGAAUAUUGGCUUCUCUCAGCGAGGCGGCCGGAGCAGGGGGUAAAGCCGAACGCAGGGAUCGCACCAGCACUAGUGGAGUCUGUGCUAAUUAGCCACUCGUCAGCUUGCUAAUGAUAAUUAGUGUUAGCUCGCUACUCUCGUUAGCUCUCGAUAAAGCCCCUGCUGCCGGCGCGCUCGGAUGGGUCACGGGCUUUGGAGUGUUGUGCCCUUCCACCACUGGAUCCCUCAUUUGUCCGAGGGUGCCCCACAGCUGGGGGCUGAAUCCCUGCCAGGGGCUGUGCCAGGGGCUGUGCCACACACAGCCGGGGGUGCCAGUGGAUAAUGGGCACGGGGAGGGAGGAGGAGCGGGGCAAAAACAAGCAGGGAAGAUGGAAAAGGCAGCAGCAGAGAGAUGGAGAGCCCGGUGCAGCACCAAGCACCGGCACCAGAAGCUCCUGGUGUCCCGUGCCAACGCUCUGGACCCCCAAGCACAAGGGCUGACCCCCCAGGGAUGGGAUGAACGUGGCCACCAGCAUCGCCCGGAUUCCCAAAUGACCGGCUCGGGUCUCGCUGCGGAAAUCCUGGACUGUGACGGACGCUUGAGGACGGGAACCCUCGGAGAGCACGAGUGCCACCAGGAGCCCUCGGGGAGGACAAGUGCCACCAGGCCCCCUGCAGGUGCAACAGCCUUUCCCGGGGAGAGGAACAGGAGAACAAGGACUGUGGGAAGCAGCAGGGCCCUGGCAGCAUCCCUGGCUGGGAAAACAAGGACACUUCUGUCACCCGAAGCGUUUCUCCGGCGUGUGCCCAGCCGAGGCUUAGCUGUCUUGUUCCUCUGCAGGAUGGUGUCGACAGAACCUCCACGAUCUAGAAGGCGUCGCCACGGGGACGCUGGCUGGGACAACAACUGCUGCGGGUCCAGCGGCGAGGUCGGGGCUUGAGGGAGCCUCAGCGAUAGCUUGCAUCCUUUCUCCUCUCUCCUCUCCUCUCUCUCUCUCUAUCUCUCUCUCUCUCCUGUUUUAAUUUUGUGAAUGUGUAGAUUGUCCUUGUGAACAUAUCAUUAGACUUGGAAUUUGUGUUGUCAUUUAUUACAUCCAUGCUAAAGGGGGGGGGGAAAGAUGGCAAAAAGUAAAAUCUCAGCGACGAUGAUGAAGCAGCGUGGGGGAGGUUGGGGGGGACACGGAGGAGGAGGAGGAGAGUGCUGACAACGGAGGGUUCACCAGAGCACCGUGGGCAAACCCUGUUCCUGGAGGAGGAUACCAAGGAGCACGGAACACCACGCAGGGCUGUGUGACCAAAAUCCCUUUGGGGAGGAUUUGCCUGCCCUGCCGGGGCUUCGGGGCCGGCAGUCCCGUCUCUCGAGUUCCGCCACGUUCGGGCACGGACUGACCCAGCGAGCCCAGAUCGAAACAGAAAUAAUAAAAUAACCCCAAAAUUUCCUUUCAGUUUAACCAAGAGAUCUGCAGUGUGGAGGCAGCGUUGUGCUCAGGGCGGUGCAGGGUGGGCAGGUGCAUCCUGCUUGGAUCGGGAUGUGGGAUAGAGCAGGAUCUCACCCAGAGGAGGGUCCCGGGGGGAGUCUGUGAACUGGGGGACACUGGGAGAGUUUCUGUGUCUCUUGCCUUGCCUGCACAGGUACCGGGAAGCUGCUGCAUCCUGGCUCCACACAUCUGGCCCAGCCUGUGAAAAUCCGGCUCUAAGGGGCUUUUGCAGCGUGGCCAAGGAGGGAUGAAGGAGCCCCCAAAUAAAACCCAAGCUACAAAAGGCACCAAAAUGCAGCUUCACAGCUUUGUUUUCUUGGCAUUAACCGUGUGCUGGGGGGGAGAUGGGGCUGGGCUGCUCCUCACCCACCACUGCUUUUUAGAACAGGAGCUGAAUUUGGUGUUAAAUUGGUAAAUCUGAGCCGGCGCUUCUCAGACCUGCAGUGAUGCUCCCGCCGGUCCCGAUGCUGCUCCAAGUCCUUGGAUGGAAAAAUAAGAAAUGUAAAAUCAAUUAAUUGAGUUGAUGGGUUGCAGCAAUAUUUCCAAACUGGGCUGUGAGGAUAUGGGCAGCACCAUGUGCCAGGAUCAGAGGGAGCAGGGCUCAGGGGGAGCCCGAGCAUGGGCAGGGCUGGGAGAUGUGUGAAUCCUUUUGUCAUGCAGCGUUUUCAAGUUGUUUUUCUAAAAAGAAAAAAAAAAAAAAAGAAUAUAUAUAUAUAUAUACAUAUAUAUAUAUACACAUAUAUAUAUACACAAAAACCCAAGUGCCAAAUGCAAUGUUUUAUGUUUGCUGUUCCUUGGUGUCCUGCUUCCCGGCAGACAAGAGGUUGAGGGGGGGUGAUGGGGAGGGUGGAGAAGGGAAAAUCUGAAGGCCAGGGAGGUUGGGAAGAGGUGUGAGGAGGUGAAGGCGAAGCGGGGUCAGCGCUGGGGACCUGGGUCACCCCCAAGCACCCCCAGCUUGUGAGGUGUGAGCAGAACCACCGUAGCAGGAGCCUCCCUCAGGGAGACUCCAGUGUAUUUACAGAGCUGAAAUUCUAUUUAUUCCUUCGCUGACUACGGACACGGAGGUUUUCUGAUUGUUCAGAGAGAUUAUUUUGGAUAUUUUACCUAUUAACUUGCUAUGGCUGGGAACCAUGAUAAUGUCUGUUAUUAACAACCACCAAAUAAUUCAAUUGUUUUAUCCUUUUGAUGUUAAAAAAAAAGAAAAAAAAAAAAGCUUAUUUUCCAUUGACAGUGUAGAGGUUAAUAACGACUUAGUUGUGUUUGCUGUUUCUUGUUUUGUUUUUUGAGUAAAAAACAACAAAAAAGUGGCUUCAGUUGCGUUCGGGAAGUGCUGCCUGGCUCUGGCUGCCGGUGCUAAGUGCGGGUGGCAGAGCUCCAGGGAAAGAAGCUUAAAAGGGGGGGUGGGGGGGGGAAAAAAAGCUGGAAUCCUAAAAGAAAUAAAAAUUAUUUAUAGAAAGAAAAAAAAAAAAAAAAGAAAAGAAAAAAAAAAACCAACCCCAACAGUUGCACGAGUGAGGCUGUGAAGUCAAAUAUUCAGUAAUAAAGCGGCAGUGCCUUUCUUUUUGUAUCCCCCGCUCGCCCCACUGCAGCUGUCCCCUCCGUGUCCCUGCAGAGGUGUCGCCACCGCGGGGUCCUGGGCGAGUCCCCCCUCCCUCUGCUCGCCCAGCCCCAGCCCCGGACCCCGGGGACCUUUUCCUGGUGCUGUUCCCCUGAGCUGUCCCCGGAGGCGACACCCGCGGGGACACAACCCCAUCCCCGGGGACACCGAGCUGGGCUCAGCUCAGCAGAACCCUCCAAAAGAAAUUCCGGGUGGGGAGGGAGAGGUCGAGCCCGGGCAGCAUCCAGCAGGAAAAUCCCAAACUGUGAUUAAAGCGAGUUGGGUCAGCACUUAGGGAAACGAUUUCUGUUGUCACCUUUCUCCAUGUCGGGUUUGGCUUUUGGAAUGUGCCUGAUGGAAAGUGGGUCCCGCAGACGUCUAUAAUUUGCACACAGCGACGAUAACACUAAAGUUGAUUUUAUACGAGUCAUCAGAGUUUGCAAAAGUGAGUUUUAUUUUUUGUAUUCCUUUAUCUUUACUUAAAGGUGAAUGUGUAUUCCUCUGGGAGGAAUAGGAAGAAAAAAAAAAAAAAAGAAAAA